AGUAAGUUAUAAUGAGAACUAGGAACUCAUUUCAACUGUUAGAUUAAAACAAAGUGGACGGCUGUGAUUGAUUUUGUAUUAAAUCAGAAAAUUAAACACAUUUAGCCAAAAAAAACAAAAACCUGCGUUUCUCUCUCCUCUUUCUCGCUGACAACAUUUUCUCUCUCCUCGAGCGUUUUUCAAGCUUUCUGACCUUAAUCAUCAGCUCAAAAGUGAAGAAUUUUGCUACAAUAUACACAUUUCUUCAAUAAUUUGCUGAGUUUAUUGCAAAAUUUCUCAACUAUAGAGCUAAUGAUAUGUAUUCUCCAUUAAAGCGGAUUUCGACCUUUUACGAGCUUUUGAUACUCCAUUGAAGCAGCUUUUGAGGAAAGGCUUCUGCAGGAAAGGGCUCAUGAGUGAAGUUGCUCAAUUAUUUAGCAAAAUGGACGAAGAUGGUUGCCCCCCCCCCCCCCCCCCCCCCAUGGUUGUACCUAUAAUAUGAUCAUCCAAGGAUAUAUUCUCAAUAAUGGCUUGUCAAACGCACUAUACUAUCGUGACAUUAUGGUUAGCAAAAGAUUUAAUGCUGAUGCUGAUACUAUUUCGUUGUUUGUUAGGCUUUUGUCUUCUGUUAAUUUAAGUGACUCAUCAAAAGGGUUGCUUCAGAAAUUCAUCAGUUGAAUUGAAGGUCUGCAGGAGUAAGGUUGUAAGAUUGUACCUACAAUCUCGUUUUUUGGGCAUCAAAUCUUCAAGGACUUUAAUAGUGUCAAUGCUAAAUUUAGAGGACAAUUGUUUGAUUUUGGGAUAUGAAGAUUCAUUUCCCAUUGAUCAAAUAUGCUUUGAUUAUAUGUACUUAAAGGUAAUUGGUUGUCUAGGCCUUGUUUAUUUUUUAGCAAAAAGAGUCAUACUCAUGACUUCAAUAUAGGAAUUAAUUCUUAUAGUGCUAUUGGGAAGGAAGACGACCAUUCUUCUUUGUGACAA